rnacentral:rRNA from 1 species
CCUACGGGGGGCAGCAGUGGGGAAUAUUGCGCAAUGGGCGAAAGCCUGACGCAGCGACGCCGCGUGAGGGAUGAAGGUCUUCGGAUCGUAAACCUCUGUCAGCAGGGAAGAACGGUCACUGUGCUAAUCAGCAGUGAAUUGACGGUACCUGCAAAGGAAGCACAGGCUAACUCCGUGCCAGCAGCCGCGGUAAUACGGAGGGUGCGAGCGUUAAUCGGAAUUACUGGGCGUAAAGCGCUCGUAAGCGGUAUGUCAAGGCAAGGGUGAAAUCCCCGCGCUCAACGUGGGAACUGCCUUUGAAACUGGCAAACUGGAGUGUGUGAGAGGAUAGUGGAAUUCCAGGUGUAGGAGUGAAAUGCGUAGAUAUCUGGAGGAACAUCAGUGGCGAAGGCGACUAUCUGGCACAUAACUGACGCUGAGGAGCGAAAGCGUGGGUAGCAAACAGGAUUAGAUACCCUAGUAGUC